GCGACAUCCGUCGCCAAGUCCGAUGCUGAUCACAUCGAACUCGCGAACGUCCUAAACAGACAUAGUCAUCUCGCAAAGAUGACUCUCGUACAUCCGACACAAGGAUAAUAGCGCUAUAAAAGAAAUCCGAAAUUUUGGUCCAGCAGUUCCGGUUGGCUUAAAAAUUGUCUCCGGAGAGAUGCUCGAUUCGUAUCAGACAAGUCAUAUAAGCCGAGAACCUAUCGCAGACUUUAAAUCGGUACGAAUCAGGAAGAAAUCGCAACAGGAAAAACGAUAGCCGGCUAGUCACCGCACAAACCUUAAACCGAAAGUAAACCUAGGUCUUGCCCUAAACCCAGCGCACUGGUCUCUAACAUCUCAAGGCAUGAUAUAGAAAGAUACGAGAUCCCUAAACCAUGCCUCUAUGUUUAUAUUUGACAUCUUCAGAGCCUCCGCGAAGCCCACAUCUCGCGGAAAAACUCUCGAAACAGAUCUCGAAUGAAACAUUUCACAAUCGAAGAAGGAUAUGAGACGACAACUCAUCACCUUCCUUCACACUAUACACUAACUCAUAAAAAAGUGCCAUUUAAUUAUCUUAUCAUAAAAAAAGGCCGUUUAAGGCCGAAACAUAAAAACAUAAAAACAAAUCUCUCGCAAGAGAUCUAACCCAAGUCAUGCUCAGAACUCACGCCCCCUCUUAACCCGUCGCCUCAUCCGAGCCUGGAGCCGCGUCGGCUCCGUUUUCUCCAACCAUCGGGUCAUUCCCCUCUGGGUCUUCUGAACACGUCGGAAGGAAGCACGCGGAUUUCAUGUCAACUAGGAUGAGAUCGAAAUCUCCAUCCACGGCCGCCAUAUCUCCGUUACGGCCGGACAGUCGGGCCUCUUCGGCCUCCAAGGUCGGGGGAGCCUCACUUUGGAACGACCGAACCACGACCAUCCCGCCCUCAAUCGUCGCCAAAGCUAAGUCCCUGC
rnacentral:lncRNA from 1 species